GGCUCCGUAGCUUAGCUGAAUAGAGCGUCAGAUUCCGGUUCUGAAGGUCCAGGGUUUGAAUCCCUGCGGAGUCACCA
rnacentral:tRNA from 1 species